rnacentral:rRNA from 1 species
CUACGGGGUGCUGCAGUGGGGAAUAUUGCACAAUGGGCGCAAGCCUGAUGCAGCCAUGCCGCGUGUAUGAAGAAGGCCUUCGGGUUGUAAAGUACUUUCAGCGGGGAGGAAGGGAGUAAAGUUAAUACCUUUGCUCAUUGACGUUACCCGCAGAAGAAGCACCGGCUAACUCCGUGCCAGCAGGCCGCGGUAAUACGGAGGGUGCAAGCGUUAAUCGGAAUUACUGGGCGUAAAGCGCACGCAGGCGGUUUGCUAAGUCAGAUGUGAAAUCCCCGGGCUCAACCUGGGAACUGCAUCUGAUACUGGCAAGCUUGAGUCUCGUAGAGGGGGGUAGAAUUCCAGGUGUAGCGGUGAAAUGCGUAGAGAUCUGGAGGAAUACCGGUGGCGAAGGCGGCCCCCUGGACGAAGACUGACGCUCAGGUGCGAAAGCGUGGGGAGCAAACAGGAUUAGAUACCCCCGUAGUC